rnacentral:rRNA from 1 species
GACGAACGCUGGCGGCGUGCCUAAAACAUGCAAGUCGAACGGGGUCUUCGGACCCAGUGGCGAACGGCGGAGUAAUACAUAAGCAACGUGCCCUGAAGACUGGGAUAUACGAUGGAAACGUCGGGCAAUACCAGAUGUGGUUGGGAGGAGUCAUCUUCAUCCAAUUAAACGGAUUUAUUCGCUUCGGGAGCGGCUUGUGGCCUAUCAGCUAGUUGGUGAGGUAAAGGCUCACCAAGGCGACGACGGGUAGGGGGUCUGAGAGGAUGAUCCCCUCGAGUGGGACUGAGACACGGGCCCACACACCUACGGGUGGCAGCAGUUGGGAAUCUUGCACAAUGGGGGAAACCCUGAUGCAGCGACGCCGCGUGGAGGAUGGAAGGAUUUCGGUCUGUAAACUCCUUUUACAGGGAAAGACUUAGGACGGUACCCUGUGAAUAAGCUCCGGCUAACUACGUGCCAGCAGCCGCGGUAAU